ACCAAGUCAAGGGGAUCGUAAGUUUGACGAUUAACAAGCUAGGUGAAAGCUUGGGAACGAAGCGGGUCAAACGAAGCAAGAAUGACGGAAAAGCAUAAUUUGGAAGUAAGGUGAUCGCCAAGAGUGCCCGGAUGAAGAUCAAGCUCGAUGAG